rnacentral:piRNA from 1 species
AAGGAGUUAUUCAUUUAUUCCUGUGAAGGAC